rnacentral:rRNA from 1 species
UACGUAGGGGGCUAGCGUUGUCCGGAUUUAUUGGGCGUAAAGAGCGUGUAGGCGGCCGGGUAGGUCUGGUGUGAAAACUCGAGGCUUAACCUCGAGAUGUCAUCGGAAACCAUUUGGCUAGAGUCCGGAAAAGGAGAGUGGAAUUCCUGGUGUAGCGGUGAAAUGCGCAGAUAUCAGGAAGAACACCAAUGGCGAAAGCAGCUCUCUGGGACGGUACUGACGCUGAGACGCGAAAGCGUGGGGAGCGAACAGG